rnacentral:tRNA from 1 species
UACCAAAAAAGGGAUUCGAACCCUUAAAACCUAAAAUCUAAACUUAGUAUGUAUACCAAUUUCAUCAUUUUGGU